UACGGAGGGUGCAAGCGUUAUCCGGAUUCACUGGGUUUAAAGGGUGCGUAGGUGGGUUUGUAAGUCAGUGGUGAAAUCUCCAAGCUUAACUUGGAAACUGCCGUUGAUACUAUAAAUCUUGAAUGUUGUGGAGGUGAGCGGAAUAUGUCAUGUAACGGUGAAAUGCUUAGAUAUGACAUAGAACACCAAUUGCGAAGGCAGCUCACUACACAAAGAUUGACACUGAGGCACGAAAGCGUGGGGAUCAAACAGG
rnacentral:rRNA from 1 species